rnacentral:lncRNA from 1 species
AUAUAAGAACAAGAACAAUAUAGAGAGAAAAGUAGAGAGAGGAGUAUUCUUAUUGAUACUUUUGUGAUGAUUUACAAUGGGAGAGAACCCCUUUCUUUAUAGGGAGGUGGUGACUUAACCACCAAGUAGUAAACCUUAGGAUCUCUCUAAAUAUGAAUAUUCACUUUAAAUAGAAUAUUUUAUAACAAAGAAAGCAAACUUGCAUGAAUGAAAGAUGCUGAUUUAUGAUCAAGGUUGUAAGAGAAAGAAGAAAGAAAUUGUACUCUUC